ACUCUGACUAGCAGGUGUGGGAAGCUCUGGCUAGCAGGCGUAGGAAACUCUGGCUAGCAGGCGUGGGAAGCUCCCACCUUUGCACACAGCAAUUUUCAUUUAUUUGUAACGAAUGUUUUACAUCAUGUAGGAUAUUUCUUCUACUUCACAAUUGUAUAUGUUAUGUUGGACUUUCACAUAAGAUUCAAAUAAAAUAUUAUUUCAUGUUGGUGGAUGUAAUGUGACUAAAUUUGGGAAAGUUCAGAAAAGGGCCACAGGAAGCACGGUCUGAGUUCAUCAGAGUGCAUUUAGAAGCAGAACAACACCCUGGUUGUAAUCCUGUCAUCCUCAGAUACAGAAAGGAGCAGCAGCACAAAUGAAAAGUCUCAGGGUGGGGAGGCUAGAGUCCAGUUCAGGGCUUCGCCUGUUCCUGACAGUCCUGUAUCUGCUCACAAUGAGCUGCAGCUCCAAGUGUGACAGUCAAAGUGUCAGUCCAACCAUUCUCCACCACAGAAGAAGUUAUCAAUUGCACUGUUGAACUGGAGUCAUCAACUCUAAAGAGAACCAGGGAAGCGGCAAAUACUGAACCUGGACACAAGGAGGAUUCCUCCAUGCUAUCUUCUCCAGCUUCUAGACAACCUGACACGGAUAAAAGGAGGAAAAUAGCGUUUUGGCUUUUCCUGCUGCAACUGAUUUAUGAUAAGGUUACCCAACCUGGGGAUGACAUGCUACAUCAACUCCAUCCUCCAAAGCGUCCUUACUGACCCUGAGCUGUUCUCACCCAAGAUCCCAGCUCUUCAGAUGGUUUCUAGAUAUUGACGUCAGUCGCUACUCCAACAUCAGAGAGGAGAAUAAGUCGCUUCCAUCCUCUUUUUAAAUGGACCGUAGCUGAAUAUAAUUCAGAUUUUGACGAUGACGAGCAGAAGGAUGCCCAUGAGUUCCUCAUCUGUGUUCUGGACAAAAUGAGGUCUGUGUCAUCAGAAGUUGAGCUGACAGCUGUAAACUCUGGCCUGACCUACACGUGCCCAGUCCAUGAACAUAUUUCAGUUCAGAUGCUGAACAUCAGGACCUGCAGGGGAUGUGGUGAGCAGUCCUAUAGAUUGGAGGACUUUGUUAACCUCACUCUGGAGCUGGUACCAGGGGGAACGGUGAGCCAGUGUCUGCAGGAGUAUUUCAAGGGGGACCAGAUAGAUCACACGUGCCACUGUGGAGCGCAGCAGUCGUCCCUGCAGAGCUCAUUCUCCACCCUGCCAAAAAUGUCAUCACAUCUGUGAGAGUAUCCAAAGAGGGCUGGAUAUGGGGGAUUCAGCAAACUCUUGGCCAACGGAUGAUGAUGAACAUGUCAGCCAAACAACAGGAGAAGAUGUCUGCUGCCGUAGACUAAGAAACGCUUCCCUAGUCUUCUAUGAAAACCAGGGUGCUCCUCUCGACUUACGCGGCAGAGAAGGUCGAGCAACGGCUUCCUUGGACCCACGCGUCACACUGCAGGAAGGUGCCGCCACCGCCAGAGGCCGACAAAUCGCAGGACAGGAAAGAUCACACGCCAGGAUCGUCGCCAUCCACCUGAGCCACCGAGCUGGCUGUGAGGACAGCGGCCCACCACAAGUUGUUUUUUUGCAGGAAGAGGUGGGUGAAGAGCACUGCUCCGACGGAAUCACAAUAACAUUCCGGGCAGUGAUUUGAGUUGCUUGUCUCCAGAGAGAGAGACAACAGAGUUUGAGACCUCCGCAGUAUCUGUUAGCUUCUUUACGGGUCAAACGGAUGCAGAGACUGGUGUUUUUCCUGGGAAACAUGCACAAAGAUGUUGAAAUUGAUCUGAUCUGAGUGACGAUGAUGAUUGUGAGGUUAAUGAUACAACCUGUUGAAGUGGAUUUCCUUUUUCCUUCUUGGUGACUAUUCCUUGUAAUGCUUUUGAAAAUGUUCCUGUAGGUUUGAUUUUAUUGAUUUGUUUGAUGAUAUUGAUUUGUUUGAUUUUCCAUUUUACAGUAGUAUUGUCAGAUUGUUGUUUUUUUUCCCCGUUACAUUUUCUUUUUUAUUAUCAAUUUAGAUUUAUGCAUGAAUUAAAAUGUUUAGUUGUAUUAGUUUAGUUUUGCUUAAGCAAUGUUUUGAUAUUUGAAGUUUCAAAUGUUUUUCCUGACAUGAUUCUUUUUUGUUCUCACUGCUUGAUGAAAGAAAUGGAGUUUUCUCAUACCAAAGAUCACUGAUUUAUGCAAUUUUGUUUAUUACAGAAGGACAGACCUGGGAUCUGAUUGGCUCUAUAGAUCCUUUAAUAAUAGCUGGUAAUGGUAACUCCUAGAUUCAACACGGGGUUUUCUGGCUCAGAUUGGCCGAGAGCAGAUCUCCCUGGGGGUCUCACCAGUUUUUACUACUCUUGUGGGUAGCGUUUUCUGGUUGUUUCCCCGCCCACACUGAACCUCUCCUGCUUUUGCUCCUGGUUUGGUAAGUUUGAGGAUGGUGGAUGGUUAUCCAUCGAAGUGGUGAGUGGAGGAUCGAGUAGGAGGGUUUUCAGGGUGGGGAGAGGGUAGACGGAUUCGACCUUAAUUAGUAUACAGGCUUAGCUUAAGUAGUCUAAUAUACAAAAAUAAUCUGUGCAUAGGGACCUAAAACAGGCCUUACUUAAUUAGUUGAACCCUAAAUUGUAGGUGAAUGCUAAACCUUUGAUCUUGUGUGUUAAAACUCCAUUAAGCAUUCAAGCUGAUCUUUACUAAAAGUUCCAGCACACGUGAUUUGUAACUGUUAUGAGUCCUUGGUGUUGUAUUUGCAUAUUUAUGUGACGAGUUAUCUUGUUUUUCAAUAAAUACUGUUUCUCAAUAAAAGUGCUGGAACUUCAUCACUC